ACGAACGCUGGCGGCGUGCUUAACACAUGCAAGUCGAACGGAAAGGCCCUGCUUUUGUGGGGUGCUCGAGUGGCGAACGGGUGAGUAACACGUGAGUAACCUGCCCUUGACUUUGGGAUAACUUCAGGAAACUGGGGCUAAUACCGGAUAGGAGCUCCUGCUGCAUGGUGGGGGUUGGAAAGUUUCGGCGGUUGGGGAUGGACUCGCGGCUUAUCAGCUUGUUGGUGGGGUAGUGGCUUACCAAGGCUUUGACGGUAGCCGGCCUGAGAGGGUGACCGGCCACAUUGGGACUGAGAUACGGCCCAGACUCCUACGGGAGGCAGCAGUGGGGAAUAUUGCACAAUGGGCGGAAGCCUGAUGCAGCAACGCCGCGUGCGGGAUGACGGCCUUCGGGUUGUAAACCGCUUUCGCCUGUGACGAAGCGUGAGUGACGGUAAUGGGUAAAGAAGCACCGGCUAACUACGUG
rnacentral:rRNA from 1 species